UAGCUAGUUGGUCGAGGUAAACGGCUCACCAAGGCUAUGACGGUUAGCCGGCCUGAGAGGGUGAACGGCCAAACUGGAACUUAGACACGGUCCAGACUCCUACGGGAGGCAGCAGUGAGGAAUAUUGCGCAAUGGGCGAAAGCCUGACGCAGCGACGCCGCGUGGAGGAUGAAGGUUUUCGGAUCGUAAACUCCUGUUAAGUGGGAAGAAAAGUCUGUGGUUAAUACCCGCAGAAAAUGACGGUACCAUUAUAGAAAGCACCGGCUAACUACGUG
rnacentral:rRNA from 1 species